UUUACAAGUCUUUUUCCAACAUCUUUGGUGAGUUUUGUAUUUCUCCAAUGUCAUUUUUACUUGUAGUGUUCCUUUCCAUUUUAACUUUAUCUUUCUCAUUGUUUCCUUUUCUGCUAUCACAGUUGCAGUAUUAUCUCUGGCCUGUCUGAUCAUAUGGAUAAUAAUUAAUUUUUGAAGUUCUCUUCUCUCUUUAAGUUGGUCUUCUCCAACAUAGUUCUAUGUUUUGGUCUGUAUCUUUCUUGUUAUGGCUCCUUUUGGAUACCGGAGAGUCUUCAGUUUUCUACUUAAUCCUGGAUUGAUUUAAAUGCUGUUUAGAAAUUGAUUAUACAGUGCUUCUGGAUUUCACUGUAGAGUGAUCUAGCUUGGAACUUUAAUUCCCCAGAGAAGGCUUUGACAAUUCUUCCCUCUGGUGGGGAAAUCUUUGUUGCUUGUGUUCUAGAAACCAAAUGGAGGGAUCCCUGGGUGGCGCAGUGGUUUAGCGCCUGCCUUUGGCCCAGGGUGCGAUCCUGGAGACCUGGAUCGAAUCCCACGUCGGGCUCCCGGUGCAUGGAGCCUGCUUCUCCCUCUGCUUGUGUCUCUGCCUCUCUCUCUCUCUCUCUCUCUCUCUCUGUGACUAUCAUAAGUAAAUAAAAAUUAAAAAAAAGUUUAAAAAAUAUAGUAAACCUUUAAAAAAAAUAAAGAAACCAAAUGGAGAAGAGGACUGUGUUUAUUAGUAUCUAGUAUGCACAACUUUACUUACUUAUCCUGUGUCCAGUAAAGUGACCUAGCAUGCCACUAUGUCUGCUGGUCCUCAGUCCAAAGAAUCCUUAUUUUAGCUUUUUUAGCACUUGUAUUUUCUUUAGGUAGGCAGGCACUCUGAUCUUCUCAUUUUAUGUCACAAUUGGCCUCUAUCCUCCUUCUUACUCUUACUCUUCUUCAUCUUCUUCCUUUUCCUCCUCCUCCUUCUUUGGAAGAGGCACUGUCAGGUUUGUUGAGGUAUGAUUUAAACACAGGGAAAGUCUGGCUUGGUUUAAAUCUGGUUAGUUCUCUACUUUUGUUUCUACUGUAUCAGGAUUAAUUUAUCUCUUGUCUACUAAUCAUUUAUCAUUUUCCAUCUGCUUUCAGCUUCUAAAUAUUUCUGAUGUUGUCUCUUACUUUUUCUGUACUGAGUUUAAUACCUUUUAGAAAAAUCUCUUUGCCUCCACUUCGGAGGGGAAUCAGGAAAAAAACUUAGAUGCCCGUGUUUGACUUGCCACAUCACCUAGAAAUCUUAACUUGGUUGUGUCUAUUAUAUCAUGAGUACUUUCUCAUGUAAUGUAAUACCCUUUGUAAGCUUAAUAAUACUUUUGUCCCUUUAUUUUGGAAAUUGCUUUACAUUUGGCCUAAAUUGCAUAUGUAAUAUAGGCACCAUAAAAAUAAGUUAUUACCAGGAAGCACUUAAAGAACAUGUACCAUCCUAUCAUCUCAAUAUAGGCAUUGAUAGCUU
rnacentral:lncRNA from 1 species